AGGUUAGGAGGAGAACUCAGCAAUUACAGGUUGUAAUUGAGAGAUGGAAAACAGAGGACUAAAUCUUAAUUGCAUCCAGCACUGCUCUACUGGCAUGAUUAUCCAGCUUAUAGUUCGAAAUAGAAGCCAGCCCUGCCAAGGGUACAAUUACAAUAGCUAGGCCUCAAAUCCAAGCAAAUUGGAGUCGGCAAUAUGAGUUCUCACUGUCCAUGUUGCUCCAUUUAUGCUAGUCUCGAUCCAAUAUUAUAAAAAACUAGUUGUCCAAGCUUGGUGGACAAAGUUACAUGGUGUGGGGUAGCAAGUACCCCGUGGAAUUAGGGUUGUGCUCAAUUCGGAUAUAUUCGAGAAUCCGAACUGAUUUAUGCUAUUCUGAUAGUCAGAAUUUCGGUUAUAUGGUUCAGAUAUGGGAACAGGAUUUAAAUUUUUUGGAUAUACGUGCAGGUGCGGUUUGGCAAAAUUUUAAGCCAAUCCGAUCCGAAAUCCGAAGUAUAUGUAUAUACAUAUAAAAGCUGGCCUAGGGUACUGCUAAAUGGUGGAACUAUCUAUUAUCUAGACAUUGGUUUCUAUUAUGGGCAGCAACUGUUAUGGGCUGCAAGCAACUAUUAAUAUUAAGUUUUUACUAUGGACUUCAACCUAUUGACUAUAUGUUGAUGAUGUUUUUGCACCA